CAGCCGCCGCGGGAAUACGUAGGGUGCAAGCGUUAAUCGGAAUUACUGGGCGUAAAGCGUGCGCAGGCGGUUCUAUAAGACAGAUGUGAAAUCCCCGGGCUCAACCUGGGAACUGCAUUUGUGACUGUAGAGCUGGAGUGCGGCAGAGGGGGAUGGAAUUCCGCGUGUAGCAGUGAAAUGCGUAGAUAUGCGGAGGAACACCGAUGGCGAAGGCAAUCCCCUGGGCCUGCACUGACGCUCAUGCACGAAAGCGUGGGGAGCAAACAGGAUUAGAUACCCCCGUAGUCCCUGUCUCUUAUAC
rnacentral:rRNA from 1 species